rnacentral:rRNA from 1 species
AACGAACGCUGGCGGCAUGCCUAACACAUGCAAGUCGAACGAUUGCCUUCGGGUGAUAGUGGCGCACGGGUGCGUAACGCGUGGGAAUCUGCCCCUAGGUUCGGAAUAACAGCUGGAAACGGCUGCUAAUACCGGAUGAUAUCGCGAGAUCAAAGAUUUAUCGCCUGAGGAUGAGCCCGCGUUGGAUUAGGUAGUUGGUGGGGUAAAGGCCUACCAAGCCGACGAUCCAUAGCUGGUCUGAGAGGAUGAUCAGCCACACUGGGACUGAGACACGGCCCAGACUCCUACGGGAGGCGGCAGUGGGGAAUAUUGGACAAUGGGCGCAAGCCUGAUCCAGCAAUGCCGCGUGAGUGAUGAAGGCCCUAGGGUUGUAAAGCUCUUUUACCCGGGAAGAUAAUGACUGUACCGGGAGAAUAAGCCCCGGCUAACUCCGUG